rnacentral:rRNA from 1 species
UACGGAGGGUGCAAGCGUUGUUCGGAAUUACUGGGCGUAAAGGGCGCGUAGGCGGUUGUGUUAGUCAGAUGUGAAAUACUUCAGCUCAACUGAAGAAAUGCAUUUGAUACUGCAUAACUAGAGUACAGGAGAGGGAAAUGGAAUUCCCGGUGUAGAGGUGAAAUUCGUAGAUAUCGGGAGGAACACCAGUGGCGAAGGCGAUUUCUUGGCCUGAUACUGACGCUGAGGCGCGAAAGCGUGGGGAGCAAACAGGAUUAGAUACCCUGGUAGUCCACGCUGUAAACGGUGAACACUAGGUGUGGGAGGUGUAAUACCUUCUGUGCCGAAGCUAACGCGUUAAGUGUUCCGCCUGGGAAGUACGGCCGCAAGGUUGAA